ensembl:lncRNA
AAAAUCUAGAAUAAAUAAAGUAUAUUUAAAAUCAAAUCAUCAAGGUAAAUCAAGCACCCAAAGUACUCAAACUGCAGCUUGCGUUUGCUUUCUGAUUGGUUGGAGUUCUGACAUCUGGCACCAAUCAAUGCCAUUCUGAAAAAACAGUGUCUUUUAUCAUAUUUCUUUCAACCACCAUCUUCAAAUUGUCUCUCUCUCCCGAGGAUCUCAGGCACUGUUAAUGUACAUGAACAGCAGUAAAUGUAUAUGCUGUCGGCAUGUUCGCGGCUGUAUGAAACUCAAUGCCCAAUGUGAGUGGCUUGUUUUCCAUGCACUGUGUAAACUGACAGUGUGUUUAGUGGGGACAGCUGCCCCCGACCACGGCACGGUAGGCCUUUAGCAGGUGAUGUCGCUCCGGAACCAUGCCGGUUUGGAGAUGAGCCGGUUAUGAAGUCCAACCGAAGACCGCAGAAUCAUCUGGCUCCACCACCUCUGUCUGACCAAUGUUGUCAGACAUUGACGACUGCCUCUAUAUCACACUUUAAUCCUGCAGACCCUAAAAGCGCUUUGACAUUUAGUGCCUCGCAUCCACCCAUAAACACACACACAGUCAACCAAGGAAACAGCCAGACAGCUCUUGGGGAGCAAUUAGAGUGAGGGGUCUUGCUCAGGGACACCUUUACACUAAGCUAGGUGGAGCCGGGAAUCGAACCAGCAUCCUUCUUGUUGCCAGACGACCAGCUCCCGAAAAUCCUGAGCUGCUGCCCCCCCUCGCUCCAUUUAAUUUGCCUUCAAAACGCUGGAGCUGCCAACCUGAAUGACUGCAGUCAUUAGGGGUUGGCAUUUUGAGUGUUCGCCUUUCAAUCCAGGGUUCGCCUGUUCGAGCUCCCGUGGCGUAGCUGAGAGCCAACCUUUGAUGGACUCCUUGUACUGGGAAGUCCCUUUCACUUUACCGUCAAAAAUAGCCUGGAUUGGCUUAAUUUGUGUUGGCUUGACGUGUGUGUGCGCAUGCCCGUGUCUGUGUGACACACACACACACACACACACACACACACACACACACACACACACACACACACACACACACACACACACACAGUCUCUGUGUGUGUGUGUGUGUGUCCACACCCUCGUCUAACCCUGGCCAGCAGACGGUUGAUCUUCAGGAUGGAUCCCAGUUUGGAUCGGCUCCUGAGAAUAGGAGCCUUUUCUAGGCAGACGGUCACGCCGACAGACGCGUGCACAUUCACCGCCAACAAAAGGUUACCCCACGCGCCCCGCGGUGCCGCCAUGUUUGGGAUUGCUCCGUGGAUUCUGUCUUUUGAUCCGUGAUGCACAUGCAGCCGUUAGGCCAUGCCUCCCCGGGUCCGUGCGGAGGACAUGGCUGAAGGCUGUCCUGAGAAGACGGUCACAUGCUUCAUGUAGAAUGAAUGUUAAGUAGUUCAUGGCUAUGCAAUGUAACUAUCAAUACAGUGAGGGGGAUAUUUCAUUACUAUCAAAUAGACGGUUCUAUUUUAUAAAAAAAAACUCAAACAUCCAACAUUUCCCAUGCAUUUCUAAUAUGUGUCUGCAAAUUAUGAGCAGUAUUUAUGGUUAUCGUCAAAUGUUUGACCUCUUUCCAGGACGUUCAUUUGCUACGGUUAGUGUAGAGUUCAACAGUCCAUUUUUUAUUCCCUUUGUAAACUCCCUAUUCCUCUCCAUACCUGUGAUGGUGUUGGUGGUGGUGGUAUUGGGAGGGUUAUGGUAGUGUGGUUGUGGUCUUGGUAAUGGUUGUGUUGGUGUUGUGUUCCUGGUGUCUGUGUUGGUGUUGAUGGGGUUGGUGUUGGUUAUUGUGUUGUUGGUGGUGGCUGUGUUGUUGAAGAUGUAAUGCUGUUGGUGUUGCUGUUGUUGGUGGUGUCUGUAUUGGUUUUGAUGGGGUUGGUGAUGGUGGCUGGUGAUGUUUUUGGUGAUGAUGGUUUAUGUUGUUUGCGGUGUUGGUGAUGGUUUGUGAUGGUGAUGAUGGUUUAUGAUGGUGAUGAUGGUUUGUGAUGGUGAUGAUGGUUUGUGAUGGUGAUGAUGGUUUGUGAUGGUGAUGAUGGUUUGUGAUGUUUGUGAUGGUGAUGAUGGUUUGUGAUGGUGAUGAUGGUUUGUGAUGGUGAUGAUGGUUUGUGAUGGUGAUGAUGGUUUGUGAUGGUGAUGAUGGUUUGUGAUGGUUUGAUGGUGGUGAUGGUUUGUGAUGGUGAUGAUGGUUUGUGAUGGUGAUGAUGGUUUGUGAUGGUGAUGAUGGUUUGUGAUGGUGUUGGUGAUGGUUUGUGAUGGUGAUGAUGGUGUGUGAUGAUGAUGAUGGUUUGUGAUGGUGAUGAUGGUGAUGAUGGUUUGUGAUGGUGAUGAUGGUGAUGAUGGUUUGUGAUGAUGAUGAUGGUCUGUGAUGGUGAUGAUGGU